rnacentral:lncRNA from 1 species
AGAGGGGGCUUGGCCAUCCGGUCAGCAAGACCAACGAGUUCCACCUGGAAAUUGGAAGGGACAUAGAAUUGAAGGCAUACAAUCUCCAAGUCCUCACAAGUGAGGAUGAACACAAUUCUAAAAGACCAAAGGUCGGCCCCGCUCCCACCUCGAAAUCAUUUGAGGUGGGGUGAUGGUCCUAAGAUGUGGACCCCUAGUCAUCUGACGAGCUAUGGUUCGAGGACCAACUUCCCAUCGAAGUACUAGAUUAGCUCAUCUAGAGAGAGAAAAAUUGAGAAAAUAAAGGACUAUUGA